rnacentral:rRNA from 1 species
GUUGGUUAAGUCCCGCAACGAGCGCAACCCUUAUCCUUGUUGCCAGCGAGUAAUGUCGGGAACUCAAAGGAGACUGCCGGUGAUAAACCGGAGGAAGGUGGGGAUGACGUCAAGUCAUCAUGGCCCUUACGAGUAGGGCUACACACGUGCUACAAUGGCAUAUACAAAGAGAAGCGAACUCGCGAGAGCAAGCGGACCUCAUAAAGUAUGUCGUAGUCCGGAUUGGAGUCUGCAACUCGACUCCAUGAAGUCGGAAUCGCUAGUAAUCGUAGAUCAGAAUGCUACGGUGAAUACGUUCCCGGGCCUU